AUGCUUCAGUUACUCUUAUUACACAUUUCACAUUAUAAUACCCAAAAAACUGCCAAUUAUUGUUCUGUAGGAAAUUCACAGGUGACUGAAGAUCUCAGCCUGGAGGAAAGUACUUUUAAGGUGCUUUCUUCUCCCUCUCAAACUCAAUCAAUAAUUAAUAACCAAUCCAUUAGGACUUCUGGAUCUCAGGAAGGGAGAAACAGUCUAGAUCCCACAAACACAUGCCUGGUUUGUUUCUUUGCACUUAAACCUGCAUAUAUAAAAGGUACUACUGAUAAACUGCUUCAGUGCACUCGAUGCCCAACCAGUCAGCUUCUCUGUGGCUCCUGUCUUUACCCCCGCACUUCUGCUGCCUGCACCAACAAGCUGUGCCCCCUCGUCUCCACACUGCUAACCUGUGAAGUGGUCUCAGAUCCAAUUAGCAAAGUGCUUGGUUGUCCAAUGUUCAGAGCUUGUCCCAAGUGCCAUAAUCUGAUUAUGCAUGAAGAAGGAUGCAAGUUUGUUACAUGCCCAUCAUGCUUUCAUGGGUUCUGUUUCAUCUGCUUGCAAGAUGAUUGUAGCAAGGAUGCAGCAAACUACUGGAAUCUAACUUGCACAAGGCCGAGGGCAGAAAGACAGAGAUUUAUGUCACCACAAACCUGA
rnacentral:lncRNA from 1 species